CUUCAAUUACAACACAAAAUACAAGAUAUGUAUGAAAAUGCAGAAAAACAUCCAAAAUAUUUAAUAAAUUGCAAUUGGUAGUCUCUUGUUUAGCAGUGCGAUUAAAACUGAAAUUAAUAGCGAUUAAUUUUAAUCAUGAUUUUUUUGAGUUAAUCGCGUGAGUUAACUGUGAUUAAUCGACAGCCCUAAAAUGCAGCCCACAGGCAGUGGUGCCAUGAUGAUGUAUACAGGUCAAAGAUUAAGGUGCAUUUUCCCCCAGAGGUAAGUGGCAUGAGGCUCUGCAGGUCAGUAUGUGGGAGCACUGACAGAGCGAGGGAUUCUAAUAUAAUUGAACAGCAUUAAGUGCUACAGGUCAGGACUGCGGUAAACUGGGAAAACUAUCAUAGAAUAUCAGGGUUGGAAGGGACCGCAGGAGGUCAUCUAGUCCAACCCCCUACUCAAAGCAGGACCAAUCCCCAACUAAAUCAUCCCAGCCAGGGCUUUGUCAAGCCUGACCUUAAAAACUUCUAAGGAAGGAGAUUCAUCAGAAGGAUGAAACAAGAGUUCCAGCUCUUCCCUGCACUGAGCCUGCAGUUUUCCUUUUUAGGGUGUUUCAACAUGAGACUUAAUAAUAAAUCCCAAAAGUGAACAGGGAAUUUCCAUUGCAAUCAGCAGAGGGCAGCUGGCUUUUCAGUUCCAAUUUAGAUUCCAUCACAUUCACACACACAGGAAGUGACAGAAGGAGCAAGUGGGGCAGAGAAAAUAUAGAAUACCAUUAACUUACCUGCACUGCAGCUGGAAACAAGAUGCCUUGGAUCUCAGCUUUCCCAUCUGACACCCUGCAUCUUACUGUACUGCAAAUGUGUGCUGGGAGGUGGGUAAACCAAAGAAGUGGGUCCCCACAGAACUUGAUGUGAUUUUUAAUUAUUAAGCUGCCUGCACAAUACAGGGCCCCAGUAACAGCAAGGAAACCAGAAGAGGAGACAUAGACAACCACCCCCCACAAUGCUCCGUGCUGCUUAAUCACAUAGAUGUGCAGAUGGCAUAGGUGUAAUAGUCCAGGCUAUGGAAGAUUGAGGACUGCACUGGUGAAACUCCAGAUUAACGAGACCAGAGGGAAAAAUGUUUCCACUUUGACAUGACUCAAGUUUCACUAUAUAAACUGGGGUCCAAAAGGAAGUUCUUGGGAGCCAACUCCAGGACACAACCCCAAGAUCAGAGCUGCCAGACCUCAACACCUUGCCAACCACUCCGUGAGGAAGCUGGAGUCUCCCAGAUGACCUGAUCCUGACUGGCCAUCAAGAAAAGUUCAUCUGCCUUAUCGGGACUGGAAGCAGUGAGCACUGUAUGCUUAGCGUAUGCAUUCUUUUUUGGAGGGAACUGUUAAUAAAUAGAGGUUAAGUAGGCUAUUACUGAGUAAGGCUCUUUCACUGGUAAAAGACCCUGCAAACUUGCAGAGUGUAAGGUUAUGCCCUGAGCCCACGGAAGGGUACGGGUGGGUGCCUAAAUUAACAGGAUCAUUCCUGAGACCUAGGAAUGGUGGAAGGGUGGGUGCCCUAGAGCGUAAGGUUAUACCUGAGCCCUAGGAACAGGGAAAGGGUAGGGGUGUCUGAAUUAUGAGGGUUAUGCUUGAGCCCUAGGAACCGAGUAAAGGUGGGUUCCCCUAAAGUGUGUAACAGAAUUUUGUGUGGGUAACAACCUCUUGGUCAAAUGUGCAUCUCUCAGAUAUUACAGUAAGGAGUGUGAUGUAAAUACAGAUAGCUCCUGAGCAUUUAACCCUCAGGAUAUGGCAGCCAUCCUCAAUUCUCAGAACAGAAGUUCCAGGUUAUGUGGAAACACUUUAAAAGCAUGACCUGCUGAUGGUUCAGGGAACCCCAUGUGCACUAGCAGGCUUCUUGUUGACCACUCCCUGCCCAGUCACAACUGGUGCAUUCCCUCUUGCCUGUCAUUCUUGGUUGCAGCUAUCUCACAUUGUGACAGCUGAUAAUGUCCAGGCUGGUUAAGGACCAGACUGGAUCCUUUUCCUUCAAGAAAAUGGCAAGAAAGGGGACAGAAAGAGAGAUUGAUAGUAGAGCAAGAGGAGGAAUAGGGCUGAGAAUGAAAAGGAGAAAAGAAGAUUGAGAGGACUGGAAAAGAAGCCUGGAGUAUGAACAGGAGAGAGUCUAGUGCAGAAAAGGAGGGUGGGAGGAUGAGGUAGAAAACAGCAAAAAAGGUUCAUUUAACUUCAUUUGAGCCAGAUACUCCCUCCCCAACACCAACUGAGCAGUUACCCUGCUGGAAAGAAAAAAGCCCCCUGCCUAAACCACAGUGGGCAAGAGAAGACAGAAGGAGCUGAAAGACAGAGGGGAAUCUGUCACGGUUACAUACAGAGGAAGCUGGGAGAGUUCCGAGUAGGACAACCCCUUUAACUCCAUAUAAUGAGAGUGGCUAAGAGAAGGAAAUUUGUCAGUGAUACAUGUGGGGCUGAAUCAGUUCAGAAUGACCCCUUUAGCACUCGUAAGGAGAAACUAGGGCUGAGAGAUGAAUAUGAACAGUACAUAGCAACAAGUUUUACCAUGCAUAGAAUGUACAAAAAGACAGU